CGUGCAUACUCCCAUCUCCCUUCUGAAAACAAGUUAAAAAAAAAAAAUCAUUUGUGUGGGGGUUGGGGACCUGUUACAUAUACAAAGGUUUUCCUCAUAGUUUCAUUCUAGAUUUCAGCCUUCAGAGUUUCAGGGACCUGUGACAGCCAAAGCAGGAGGAAAAAAAAACCCAACAGGAAAGCAGCAAAAUGAAGCAUUCAUAAAUUCAGAAAAGCCAGAUGUAAAGUUGCUAACAAGGAGAAGAAAUGGGUGCACAGAUGAUACCGUCCCCCUGUCCUACAGUGCCACAGUUGUUCGUAACAGCCUGCGCAAGAAAGACCAGCUCAGCUGAUGUGCAAAUCAGAAGCAGUUGCACAUACAAGAGCAGCAAGGGGAUCACAGAGCAUGCUCAUCGCUUGAAAGCAUGAGCUGCCAAACACUGGAAAAAAAUGAAGGACACAGGCAUUUGAGACAAGCUGAAGAUGUUUCUUGCAUUUUAUUGCCUCUGACUGCUUGAAUCAAACCAUUUAGACUAACAUUAUUCUUUCCAAUAUAUUUAUGAGUAUGCUACUGUCAUGACUCAUUUAUGACACAGGAAGCCUGUGAAGGCCACGUGUGUCAGAGCCUUUCACUGGUUGGUUCCCUGCUGUCUGACCCAAAGAAACGUCCAACAGCCGUUAUAUUCUUUGUCUUUAUUCUCAUGGAAACAGAAAGUGGAUUUGAGGUGAAACAUCUGGUUUGUUUUGGGAUGUUACAGGAGUAAGUGGCAUCCAGCUUGAAAUACUAACAUGCUCGUACAUCAUCUGGCUGUUGCUUCAGAUCCUCCUGAGCAUCUUGCCCAGAAGUGACCUCCAGAAUGCCUAUGUGCUAGUACAGAUUAAAUGUUCAGACAAAACGUGUGAGCAACAGAGGAGACUGUGCUGUAUGAAGCUGUUCUCCAAGGACAUUCUUCCACUUGUCCCUUCCACAAGAUCUGAAGAAACAUCUGGACAAGGAUUCAUCACGUGACUUUAAAUAUGCUGAUAUUUGACUUCAGUGACAUGUUCUGAUGUCCCUUCAAAAUGAAGCACCUACCAAAUGAGGAUUUAAUUUAGAUUUAUGAGUGUGUUUAUCGUCUAUUAAUGAAGUACUACAUAAUAACUCAAACCACAUUUAUUGAGGCUGUUGUGAUUAUGUAACGGGGUAUUAUGUUUCUAAUAAUUAGCUGGCACCAUUCAAUUACAUAUGAAUUAAAGCAGUUGCUGAGUUUACUGAGGAGCCAGGAGUUGUUCUUAGCAUGAUUGUGGUGUUGGCAACUUUGUGCUCAGGAGGUGAGGUUUUAUGCUAGGUGACAGCUGCCCAUACUUUUGCCUUAUGUCUUCAUACUUGGCAUGCAAAGGUCAUCCUGAAAAUGGGAGACCAAGAAAUCUGGAUAUCAGGGAUUCAGGAAUAGGGAGGUGGGGACACAGUCCCAGCUUAAUGCAGCAGGAAGUCAGGUGGGCCAGCAUGUGUCUUCUGAAUUUAGUCUCUUGUUUCAUGUAGGACUGCAGGUGGAAACCCUAUUCCAUAGCCCAGGAGAAUCUCUUAACCACUUGGUCAGCAUCCCCCCUGUGGUGAGGGAGUCUGUUUUUACAAAAGAAAUCCAAACCUUUGAAAGAUCUUUUCAUCAUAAUGUAGAAAAGGAACAUUUAUGAAAUCUCAAUUUCAUGGGGUGGGAAAAUUGUUUCCCUCUUUGCUCUAGAGCAGAUUGAUAAAAGGCUCAUGAUAGCAAUUGAACGCUGGGGAAAUUUUUGAUCUGUGCAGCUGUACAUAAUCCGUAUUAUUUUUACAAGUCACUGGAGGCAUUUAGUAGGGUCAACAUGGUAAGAAAUCUGGACGUGAAAGUGAAACAAAGUGUCUGUCAGAGGGGCCAGAUUUUAAUUGGAAACUAAAUUUAAUUUUAGAGAAAGAGGAAAAUACCACACUUCUAAUGAGAUCCAGGGCACUUCAGAGAGCAGCCUGCAAAGAAUAUUUAAAUAGAAAAGUCCUGUUCAGAAAGACCUGUAGUAAAUGACUCGGUACUGUAGGUUGAUAAGUACACAUGAGCUCAUGCCUCACAAAUGAGAAACCAUAUAUGAAACAUACUGAUGCCUUAAAGUAAGGUUUUGAGUCUAAUCCUAACUUUGACCAGGAAACAUUCAGUGUCACUUUUUGGAGUUGUUCAAAUAAGUUGAGAAGUGUUUUAUUCUAUAAAAUGUUUGGAAGGGUUGUUGUUGUUUCUUUUGUUUUUUUUUUUUUAAUGUGAAAGUAGCAAACAAUAAUUAGAAAAUUUCACCUAAAAGAGAUGCUUUUAACUAAAAAACAAAUUAAUGAGGUGGUGCGGAGGACUGUUGUUUUGUUUUUGUUUUUGUGUGGGUUUUUUUGGGUUUGGGUUUUUUGUUUUUGUUUUGGUUUGGAAGUUGGGUUCUGCACUUGAAAAUUGUUCAGGAUGUGCAGACAGUGCAAAUGCUGGUACCUGCAAAUAAGCUUUGAGAAGCAAGAGCAAUGUUUUUCAGGUAGUCUGCUCAAAUGAGGUGAAAACUUGAGCUCAGAUUCUGACCCUUCAGUAGUCAUUUGAGGAGGAUGGCAUUUCUAUGUUUCAUGCAUGGCCACAGCUAGAAGAAGAGGGGAGAGGAGGAAAGGAUGGUGGCUUCCAUUCUCUGCCUCUUCCAGCAUCUACAGUCCUGAGAGCAGAGGGGGGAAUGCAAUGACUUAUGGGAUCAAAGCCAGUCUUUCUCUCUCAAUGCCAAUGAGAAGCAGAGAAGAGUUUUCCUCUCCUAUUUCACCAACUGUCCUUGCACCCCUUAAGAAAGCUGAAAAAUGUUUGGAUGGAGGAAGAGGAUACUAUCUAUGAUCCUUCCUCCCUCAAUCUCUUUUCUUUUUAACCAGUGGUUUUAACCUGUUUUCUCAACGUAGCCGCAUCUUGCGGUCAGACACCUUACUUUUUCUUGUACUGCAACAGUGAGGCUGAAUAAAUCAACCAGACCUGAUGAAAUCAAGCAUUUCAGGCCAGAGAUCAACAGGAAAUUAAAGUAAAACCCAUCUCCAUGCC
ensembl:lncRNA